rnacentral:rRNA from 1 species
CCUACGGGUGGCAGCAGUGGGGAAUAUUGCACAAUGGGGGAAACCCUGAUGCAGCAACGCCGCGUGAGUGAAGAAGGUUUUCGGAUUGUAAAGCUCUGUUAGCAGGGAAGAGGAAGGACGGUACCUGCAGAGGAAGCCACGGCUAACUACGUGCCAGCAGCCGCGGUAAUACGGAGGAUGCGAGCGUUAUCCGGAUUUAUUGGGUUUAAAGGGUGCGUAGGCGGAAUGCCAAGUCAGCGGUAAAAUCGCGGGGCUCAACCUCGCUCCGCCGUUGAAACUGGCGUUCUUGAGUGGGCGAGAAGUAUGCGGAAUGCGUGGUGUAGCGGUGAAAUGCAUAGAUAUCACGCAGAACUCCGAUUGCGAAGGCAGCAUACCGGCGCCCAACUGACGCUGAAGCACGAAAGCGUGGGUAUCGAACAGGAUUAGAUAUCCCAGUAGUC